UACAGAGGUGGCAAGCGUUGUUCGGAAUUACUGGGCGUAAAGGGCGCGUAGGCGGCCUUCUUAGUCGGACGUGAAAUCCCCAGGCUUAACUUGGGAACUGCGUCCGAUACUGGGAGGCUUGAGUGCGGGAGAGGGAUGUGGAAUUCCAGGUGUAGCGGUGAAAUGCGUAGAUAUCUGGAGGAACACCGGUGGCGAAGGCGGCAUCCUGGACCGACACUGACGCUGAGGCGCGAAAGCUAGGGGGAGCAAACGGG
rnacentral:rRNA from 1 species